rnacentral:rRNA from 1 species
UGGGGAAUAUUGCACAAUGGGGGAAGACCCUGAUGCAGCGACGCCGCGUGAGUGAAGAAGUCAUUCGUGAUGUAAAGCUCUAUCAGCAGGGAAGAAAAUGACGGUACCUGACUAAGAAGCCCCGGCUAACUACGUGCCAGCAGCCGCGGUAAUACGUAGGGGCAAGCGGUUAUCCGGAUUUACUGGGUGUAAAGGGAGCGUAGACGGCGGUGCAAGCCAGAUGUGAAAGCCCGGGGCUCAACCCCGCCGACUGUGCAAUGGAACUGUUGAUCUUGAGUACCGGAGAGGUAAGCGGAAUUCCUAGUGUAGCGGUGAAAUGCGUAGAUAUUAGGAGGAACACCAGUGGCGAAGGCGGCUUACUGGACGGUAACUGACGUUGAGGCUCGAAAGCGUGGGGAGCAAACAGGAUUAGAUACC